AAACCAGCACCUCAAGUGGUCAGGAGGAUUAUUGGGCCUAAAGCAUCCGUAGCCUGUUCUGUAAGUUUUCGGUUAAAUCCAUUAGCUCAACUAAUGGGCUGCCGAAAAUACUGUAGAACUAGGGAGUGGGAGAGGUAGACGGUAUUCGGUAGGAAGGGGUAAAAUCCUUUGAUCUAUUGAGGACCACCUGUGGCGAAGGCGGUCUACCAGAACACGUUCGACGGUGAGGGAUGAAAGCUGGGGGAGCAAACCGGAUUAGAAACCCGUGUAGUCC
rnacentral:rRNA from 1 species